rnacentral:lncRNA from 1 species
AUGCAAAUAAGUGAAUGAUCCAGAAAAACAAAAAAUAAAAUAAAAUAAAAAAUAAAAGAAAGCAAAAAAAGGCAACUCCGGUAUAGGUGACCCUCACAAAGUCAUUUAAACCAAAGAAUUGUAAAAAAUUGCUACAAAAAGAAAAAUAAAAAGAAAAAGAAAAGCAAUACUCACUGUUAGUUGGUUCAAAAGUAUCUGGCACUAAACUCGGUAGGGUAG